rnacentral:rRNA from 1 species
GACGAACGCUGGCGGCGUGCCUAAUACAUGCAAGUCGAGCGCAGGAAGCCGUCUGAACCCUUCGGGGGGACGACGGUGGAAUGAGCGGCGGACGGGUGAGUAACACGUAAAGAACCUGCCCAUAGGUCUGGGAUAACCACGAGAAAUCGGGGCUAAUACCGGAUGUGUCAUCGGACCGCAUGGUCCGCUGAUGAAAGGCGCUCCGGCGUCGCCCAUGGAUGGCUUUGCGGUGCAUUAGCUAGUUGGUGGGGUAACGGCCCACCAAGGCGACGAUGCAUAGCCGACCUGAGCGGGUGAUCGGCCACACUGGGACUGAGCCACGGCCCAGACUCCUACGGGAGGCAGCAGUAGGGAAUCUUCCACAAUGGACGAAAGUCUGAUGGAGCAACGCCGCGUGAACGAUGAAGGCUUUCGGGUCGUAAAGUUCUGUUGUAAGGGAAGAACAAGUGCCGCAGGCAAUGGCGGCACCUUGACGGUACCUUGCGAGAAAGCCACGGCUAACUACGUGCCAGCAGCCGCAGUAA